GACGAACGCUGGCGGCGUGCCUAAUACAUGCAAGUCGAGCGAAGUUUUUCUGGUGCUUGCACCGGAAAAACUUAGCGGCGAACGGGUGAGUAACACGUAGAGAACCUGCCUCAUAGACUGGGACAACUAUUGGAAACGAUAGCUAAUACCGGAUAACAGCAUUAACUGCAUGGUUGAUGUUUAAAAGUUGGUUUUGCUAACACUAUGAGAUGGCUUUGCGGUGCAUUAGCUAGUUGGUGGGGUAAAGGCCUACCAAGGCGACGAUGCAUAGCCGACCUGAGAGGGUGAUCGGCCACACUGGGACUGAGACACGGCCCAGACUCCUACGGGAGGCAGCAGUAGGGAAUCUUCCGCAAUGGGCGAAAGCCUGACGGAGCAACGCCGCGUGAGUGAAGAAGGAUUUCGGUUCGUAAAGCUCUGUUGUUAGGGAAGAAUGAUUGUGUAGUAACUAUACACAGUAGAGACGGUACCUAACCAGAAAGCCACGGCUAACUACGUG
rnacentral:rRNA from 1 species